CGUGUGGUGUCCGGCAACAAUGACCGGAUAGCGACGCGGCCUUAACUGAGGU
rnacentral:ncRNA from 1 species